rnacentral:rRNA from 1 species
GAGUUUGAUCGUGGCUCAGAUUGAACGCUGGCGGCAUGCCUUACACAUGUAAGUCGAACGGCAGCACGGGAGCUUGCUCCUGGUGGCGAGUGGCGAACGGGUGAGUAAUGCAUCGGAACGUAUCCUGGAGUGGGGGAUAACGUAGCGAAAGUUACGCUAAUACCGCAUAUUCUGUGAGCAGGAAAGCGGGGGACCUUCGGGCCUCGCGCUCUUGGAGCGGCCGAUGUCGGAUUAGCUAGUUGGUGAGGUAAAGGCUCACCGAGGCGACGAUCCGUAGCAGGUCUGAGAGGAUGAUCUGCCACACUGGAACUGAGACACGGUCCAGACUCCUACGGGGGGCAGCAGUGGGGAAUUUUGGACAAUGGGGGCAACCCGUGAUCCAGCCAUGCCGCGUGAGUGAAGAAGGCC